UUUAUUCCAGAGUAGUGGAAUGUAGCGGAUUUAAAUUGAUUUAAAUUGAAAUGUAUAUUUUUUAAAUAUAUUGAAUCAGAAUAAUGUAAUUUAGCUUCUUUGAACAACAUUCUUUAAGAUGACCCAUUAUUUAUUAAUUCAAUCUGCUGAAAAUUGUAUAAAACGUGUUCUCUAAAUUAUCUUAUAUUUCUAAUGUAACAUUAUUUUUGUAAUUAGGGGUUCUUCAACUUCGAUCAAGAGUGCUAUAGGAAAUACGGGAAAAUAUGGGGUAUUUACGAUGGCCGCCAGCCCGUGUUGUGUGUUGCAGAUCCUGAAAUCAUAAAGGCCAUUCUGGUUAAGGAAUGCUACUCUUUCUUCACCAACCGCAGAAAUUUCCAUCUGAAUGGGGCCCUGUAUGAUUCCCUGUUCAAUGCUGAAGAUGAUCAAUGGAAAAGGAUCCGUAGUGUCCUAUCUCCUUCCUUCACCUCUGGGAGACUGAAGGAGGUGAGCUUCUCCACCUUCUCUA